UACGGAGGGUGCGAGCGUUGUCCGGAAUCACUGGGCGUAAAGGGCGCGUAGGCGGCCUUCUAAGUCGAACGUGAAAUCCCCGGGCUCAACCCGGGAACUGCGUCCGAGACUGGAAGGCUUGAAUCCGGGAGAGGGAUGUGGAAUUCCAGGUGUAGCGGUGAAAUGCGCAGAUAUCAGGAGGAACACCGGUGGCGAAGGCGGUUCUCUGGGCAUUACCUGACGCUGAGGAGCGAAAGUGUGGGGAGCGAACAGG
rnacentral:rRNA from 1 species